rnacentral:rRNA from 1 species
AUGUUCGCGGUCCAGGGCGCGUUCACGCCCACCUGCACCCAGAGGCACCUCCCGGGGUUCGUAGCCAAGGCCGGGGAGCUGCGUGCCAAGGGGGUGGACGUCGUGGCCUGCGUCUCCGUCAACGACGCCUUCUUGAUGCGACAAGGUGCUGCUGCUCUCGGACGGCAACGGGGAGCUGACGCGCGCCAUGGGCGUGGAGCUGGACCUGUCGGACAAGCCGGUGGGGCUCGGCGUCCGGUCGCGCCGCUCUCGGCCGUGAGGCUAGCAACGGGGACUGUUGGCAUGCUCCAGCGAGCCUAG